GGGAAGGUAGCUCAGUGGUAGAGCACUUGCCUUGCAUGCAUGAAGCCCUGGGUUCGAUUCCUCAGCACCA
rfam:Dipodomys ordii contig_18032, whole genome shotgun sequence.